rnacentral:lncRNA from 1 species
UGUGUCUCCAACUGAGAGGCUUCCUCAAAAACGAGGCCUUUUUAAAAAAAAUCAGUGCUCCCCACUGUGCUGUGUGAAGCCCCGUGUGGCUUCCCGCUGCCCUUCCAACAAGGUCAAGGCCCCUCACACCCAGCCUCCAUGAUGUGACCCCACAUCUUCCCGUGACCCUCGGCUCACCGGGUUUCACUCACACUCGCCCGAUUUCUGACCCUGAGACCACAGUCUGCUCUCCCUCAGGCCUUUCCUCUCUCGCCCCAACACUGCUCUCCAGGGGGCUGGCUCCUGGCGGGGCCUGUGGCUCAAGGUCAGGACACCUGGAAGAGGGCACCCGAGGAGCUGGCAAGACGUCCGUCCAGUGCCAGCAUAGGCCCGCCCCUGGAAGGCGCUCAGUAACGUGGGAGAGAAGGAGGAAAAGAUGGAGAGAAAGUAUAGUGCGACUUAAGUCAGGCGGAGAAGGGAGCAUCAGCUUCAUCUCUUGAGGAUCAAGAAUGACAACAUCCACUCACGUCAAGAUAAUCCACACACAGACCGGUGGGACAAUCGGUUUCUUCAUCUCCUCAGUAAAUCCUUUGUAAGGGCUACGAUGUGCCCAACACAACAUCAACACGCAGCCCGCCUUCGGGGAGCCCCAGCCAGGGGCGCUGGGCAGACAGAACACCCCUGGCAUGCGGAGCCUCAUGGAGCCAAUCUUGUUUUUGCUGCCCACCACCCUUUUCAAUUGGAGAGAACUCCGGCAGUGACGAUGGCUUUGCUGGAACCCCCGCAGCAGACAGCCCUGAGAUCAAGUUCUGGAGACGGAGAGUCCAGGGUCGAGGUGCUGCCGACUCGGUUCCUGGGGAGAGCCGCUCCUGGCUUGCAGAUGGCCUCCUUCUUGCUGCGUCCUCGCCUGGCAGAGAGAGCAUCUUCCUCAAGUCUUGUCUUAUCUGGGCACCGAUCCCCUCAUGGGGGCUCCACCUUCACCACCUAACCACCUCCCAGAGGUCCCACCUCCCAACAUGCUCGCAGUGGAGAUUCGACUUCAACUUACGAAUCCAGGAGACACAGGGUUCGGCCCGCUGCACCAGGAUUAACCCGCCGCCCUGGCACUCUUCUUGUCCCCGCUGACUGCUGCGCUGCAGGGUCCUCAGACUCGGCGGGCACAAGAAUCCCCAGGCUGUGAGCCUCCCAGGAAGGUAUGCUGCUGGGCCUGCCCCCCAAUUCAGAUUCAGGAGGACUCAGGGACCUGGAAAUCUGCAUGCCUGACAAGCCCUCCACAUCACUCUAACGAAGUGGUCCAUGCAGCACACUUUGAAAAACGGCGUCUAGGGUGUUGGGGAUGCUCCACUUCUGUGUCAUGAGCUGUCAUUUCCUUGAACUCAGAAGCAUUUUGCAACAUACGAAGAGCCAUGUAAAUAAAAACAACUUAGUGUCAGCCAUGUGCCAGACACAGUCAUCGUUCAUCUCAUUUGUUACCACAGCAACCCAAGGAGGUCGUGCCGGCCUCCGCUUGCUAGGCUGCUAGGCUGAGGCUCCAGAAGUUACAGAUCCUGCCCCAGAUCACGCAACACGCAAAUACCCAGGUGUCGCCCACCGAGGUGCUCGGACCCACGACGCCUCAGGCCUCUCCGUUGGUUCACGACGCCCUGCGGGUCCAGAACCAAGGUCAACCCAGGGCAGGCAAUCAGGAAUGAGACUUCGCAGUUUCAUCUGGACUCAGGCAAGUACUAAAUGGCGAGCAGACGGUGGACCACGGACAGGGACUGUGCUGGCCUUGGGCAGGUAGCAACUCUCUGCCUCAGCAGCCUCCUCUAUGAGGCAGAAAUCGAAUGCCGACUCCACAGGGCUGCUCGAGGAUUGCAACACGUGUCCAGAGCCCAGGACACAGGAAGCGCUCCGCGAGCAUAGUCAUUGGGACCGUGGCAGAUGCGGCGACUGUUGUGGGAGGUUGAGAUGUCUUCGCUUAACAAGGUGGCUUCACUGAUACAGAUGUGGGCUUCCUUUAAGCUUUUAAACUAGUUAAUUGGCUGUUGAAAACAUUUUAAAGAUUAAGUAGUAAAAAAAAUUCAUUUCUAGUUAAUUAGCAACUCACUCUAUUAUUAGUUUUCAACCCGUAAUUUUUACAGCCCACGCUGCUCUCUUCUGCUCCGUCCUAUGACUCGUCACCAUCUCACCCAGGGUUGCUCUGUUUCCUUGUGACACCUCGUUGGCAAUGUUGUUACUUAAGUGUGCGAAGCAUUAUGGGAUACGUUUGGAACGAAAGUCACUUUGCGAACAGAAAUGAAGCUGACAUACGUUGCAUUCAGACCUCUAGUGGGGACCACAGGGGGGACAAGGGAGAAGAGCUCAUGGAUGCCCUUGGUUGUGGGCUGAGAAAAACCGCCUCUCUCCCUGCCUGGUUGACCAAGAGGAUGUUACUGAGAGAAUCUCCCUGGGGAGGGAAAGAGUCCUUCCUUGCUUAUGAUGCAAACUGAAAAUGAAAAGAUAACACGAGAGCAGAGUUCCUCGGCUUCUCCGUUCUGCUCCUCUCAGGGACCACGAAAGAGACACACAGACUCUUUGCAAGUUCUAUUUCCACAUCUGUAAAAAUAAGAAUUUGUUGGUGGUGGAGGAAGUGAGAGGAAUGGGGUCAGUCCCUGCUGUCCAGAUAGAUUUGGGGCUGGGGCAUACCAGCUGACGGAUUUGAAAAACAAACCAAGAGCGGAGAUGCUUUUAAUCAAAGAGACAAACUCAAGAGUAGAACUACAAUUGACCGCAAACCUGCUGGGAGCCACUCUUUGGCAAGUGGUGGGGGAAGGGCAGCUGGGCGUGUUUGGGGACCCUGGUUACAGGAUUAAAGGGUUUUGCUCACUUCUCUCCACUGGGAUGUCCAGGGCAGCUGCCAGCCCAUAUGGUCCCCUUGUGCAAGUUAGGAAACACGUUCCCUCAGAGAGGGCUGCUCCACACCUGGCGGUUGAAAUAGGGGCAGCCGGGCUGCAUUUAUACCCUAUGCUGAGCCCAGCGGAUGCAGAGAGAGAGAGAGAAGCCAUGUGUGGUAUGCAGGGGGAAGUGCCCUGUCCCCCUUCAAGGAAGGACCGCCCAGCUAUGUGAGCAUCCUCCACGAGGUCAUGCCUUCCCGGGGCAGCUGGCAUCGGUGACUGAGCCACGCUGGGGCACUAAAAUCUGGCUCCUCGGGCUCAAGGCAGGAUGCUCUGUGGGGCGCACCUGCUGCAGCCCCCGCCAGCGCCUGCGUGGACUUCUCCCUCUGCCCAGCCCUGCUUCCCCCAUCUUUGACUUCCAUCGACAGGUGUUGGUCCCUAAUAAACAUGUCCGACCACAAAUUCCAUGUCAGCACCUGCUUCUUAAGAACCCAACCUGCAUCUCCACAUCCUGCCCUUUCAGUCCAGUUGGGGAGACAGACAUCAGCAAAAGAAUCUGGAACAUAUAUGAAAAAUUGCAGCUAAAAUCUCUGGAAAAGGGGAGCUGCCUGAUGGUGGAAG